rnacentral:misc_RNA from 1 species
UAACCCCUCAAGCCUAGCUUGGUGUUGGGGCCUGCUGUUGUCGGCAGCCCUUAAAAUCAGUGGCGGUGCCAUCUAGCUCUAAGCGUAGUAAUACUUCUCGCUAUAGGGUCCUGGUAGGUGCUUGCCAUCAACCCCUAAAAUUCUAU